GUGUCAGCCGCCGCGGUAAGACGUAGGGGGCAAGCGUUGCUCGGAAUCACUGGGCUUAAAGGGCGCGUAGGCGGUUGUGUAAGUCCAGGGUUGAAGGCCCCGGCUCAACCGGGGAAAGGCCUUGGAGACUGCAUGACUUGAGUGAGCGAGGGGAGGGCGGAAUUCCUGGUGUAGCGGUGAAAUGCGUAGAUAUCACGAGGAACACCAGAGGUGUAGACGGGUCACUGGACGGGUACUGACGCUGAGGCACGAAAGCGUGGGGAGCAAACAGGAUUAGAUACCCUGGUAGUCCACGCCGUAAACGAUGGAUGCUCGGUGUUGCCCCGCCUUUAGGGGCAGUGCCUAAGCUAACGCGUUAAGCAUCCCACCUGGGGAGUACGCUCGCAAGGCUGAAACUUAAAGGAAUUGACGGGG
rnacentral:rRNA from 1 species